AUUGCACGCUGGCGGCAGGCCUAACACAUGCAAGUCGAGCCAGCGGCGGACGGGUGUGUAUUGUAUGGGGAUCUGCCCGAUCGAGGGGGAUACAUACUGGAAACGGUGUCUAAUACCGCAUACUAUCGGCUGAACCCCUAUGGGAGUCGCUAGUAGGUGGGGUAAAGGCUCACCUAGGCGACGAUCUCUAGCUGGUCUGAGAGGAUGAACAGCCACACUGGGACUGAGACACGGCCCAGAAUCGUACGGGAGGCAGCAGUGGGGAAUAUGGCACAAUGGGCGCAAGCCUGAUGCAGCCAUGCCGCGUGUAUGAAGAAGGCCUUAGGGUUGUAAAGUACUUUCAGCGGGGAGGCGUUACCCGCAGAAGAAGCACCGGCUAACUCCGUGCCAGCAGCCGCGGUAAUAC
rnacentral:rRNA from 1 species